GUUUGGGUAGCUCAGUCAGUCGAGCAUCUGACUUUGGCUCAGGUCAUGAUAUCACAGCUUGUGGGUUCAAGCCCCACAUUGGGCU
rnacentral:tRNA from 1 species